GGCGUGCCUAAUACAUGCAAGUCGUACGCUUCUUUUUCCACCGGAGCUUGCUCCACCGGAAAAAGAGGAGUGGCGAACGGGUGAGUAACACGUGGGUAACCUGCCCAUCAGAAGGGGAUAACACUUGGAAACAGGUGCUAAUACCGUAUAACAAUCGAAACCGCAUGGUUUUGAUUUGAAAGGCGCUUUCGGGUGUCGCUGAUGGAUGGACCCGCGGUGCAUUAGCUAGUUGGUGAGGUAACGGCUCACCAAGGCCACGAUGCAUAGCCGACCUGAGAGGGUGAUCGGCCACAUUGGGACUGAGACACGGCCCAAACUCCUACGGGAGGCAGCAGUAGGGAAUCUUCGGCAAUGGACGAAAGUCUGACCGAGCAACGCCGCGUGAGUGAAGAAGGUUUUCGGAUCGUAAAACUCUGUUGUUAGAGAAGAACAAGGAUGAGAGUAACUGUUCAUCCCUUGACGGUAUCUAACCAGAAAGCCACGGCUAACUACGUGCCAGCAGCCGCGGUAAUACGUAGGUGGCAAGCGUUGUCCGGAUUUAUUGGGCGUAAAGCGAGCGCAGGCGGUUUCUUAAGUCUGAUGUGAAAGCCCCCGGCUCAACCGGGGAGGGUCAUUGGAAACUGGGAGACUUGAGUGCAGAAGAGGAGAGUGGAAUUCCAUGUGUAGCGGUGAAAUGCGUAGAUAUAUGGAGGAACACCAGUGGCGAAGGCGGCUCUCUGGUCUGUAACUGACGCUGAGGCUCGAAAGCGUGGGGAGCAAACGGGAUUAGAUACCCUGGUAGUCCACGCCGUAAACGAUGAGUGCUAAGUGUUGGAGGGUUUCCGCCCUUCAGUGCUGCAGCUAACGCAUUAAGCA
rnacentral:rRNA from 1 species